GGCGAAAUGAGACAUAAUGGUGGUUACAAACGUAGUCUUAAUAAAAAUAUCAACCUGAAGAAGGUGAUGUUCAGUGUUUAGUUCUCAGUCAGUUCGUAAGUGCAGAACGCAAAACUAUAGUCUGACGUCAUCAGACCGGCACGGGCCGGUCCUACCGGAAGAAGACCGGUAGGCCCGGUAACCUCAUAACUAGCUACGGCCAGUACGGCAGUUUAGAAGCUAUUAUACUUUUUCAAAGUGGUUUUUAAUAUGAAUAAUUUAUAAGGUAAAACCAACCACCAUUACACUCCCCCUCUCUUAAGACCUAAUGUCGGGACGACAUUAGUCCAACGAUAAAAUAUUCAAUAGAAUAGAUCAAAGUACAUAUAAUAUGAAAGCAUGUAAGUAGAUUUACCAAGUCCUUAAUUAUGUUUAACUUUAGCACUUAAUUAACAUCAAAGAAAAUCAAUAAAAAAUUUCAUUUCCAAAACUAUUUACCUUGAUUUCUA
rnacentral:lncRNA from 1 species